UACGUAGGGGGCUAGCGUUGUCCGGAUUUAUUGGGCGUAAAGAGCGUGUAGGCGGCCAGGUAGGUCUGCUGUGAAAACUCGAGGCUCAACCUCGAGAUGUCGGCGGAAACCAUCUGGCUAGAGUCCGGAAGAGGAGAGUGGAAUUCCUGGUGUAGCGGUGAAAUGCGCAGAUAUCAGGAAUAACACCCGUGGCGAAGGCGGCUCUCUGGGACGGUACUGACGCUGAGACGCGAAAGCGUGGGGAGCGAACAGG
rnacentral:rRNA from 1 species